GGAGGUGUCUGAGCGCCUGGUGGGCUCCCCCGCCUUCAAAGCGGGUGUGCGGUGUGAUCCAUCGCAGGCGGGUUCGAUUCCCGUCCACCUCCGCCA
rnacentral:tRNA from 1 species